rnacentral:lncRNA from 1 species
GUUUGGGAUGCACAGUCUACAAAACCCCACAGCCCCUAAGAAUUCCCUCACCUGCCUUCUGCCCUUAGGCUCCGGUAGAUUGCAAAUGACCUGCUUUCUUUCUGUUCCCGGGCUGCGUUCGGACCCCUGUCGGAGAGUAAAUCCGAAAAAAACAAACAAAGACAUGGAUUUACUGUGCAUAUUAGCAGAUCCAUACUGGAAAAUGCAUGGAGGUUUCAUAUACACCACUUACAGGUUUCCAAAGCCACAAUUUCCUUCAUAUGUUCAAACUCUUCAGGAUGCAGAAAGGCAGUGAACUCCUCCGGAGUAGCUGUCAGGUCACCAUUGAGGUCUGCAGCUUUGAAUCUUCUCUCAUCACGUGGCAGCAUCUUUUUAAAGGUGUGAUGAUCUGAAGAAUCAUGAAACUCUGCGGGGUUUCCUAGGUAUAGUAACCAUAGGUGGCUUGUUUGUAUUCUUCCCAGGAAAUGUUAUCAUCCUUGUCCCUAUCAUAAUCCUUCCAGACUUUGGCGACAUUAUCAAAGAUGUAUCUUUUCUGCACCCGUUUGAUCCAGGUUUUCAGCUCCUCAGUAGUGACAAAGCCAUACCCAUCAUUGUCGAUUCGAUCAACAAUCUUCCCUAGCCUCUCCUUGCUCUCGUCCGGGGUGAGCUCGUCGAAGUUCUUGGAGUCCUCCUUGCCCAGGAAGGCCUCGUGGUCGUACUGGAAGCUCUGGUUGUCCUCAGGGGGCCGCUCGCCCAGCUCCGAGUCGGGCCGCACCACGCGCUCUUUGCGCACCGUGGGCUUGGCCCGCAGAACCCGCGGCGCCAGCACCAGCGCCAGCAGCAGCCCCAGGGCUAACCCCAGGCGGCCACCGCGCGCCAUCGUCCCGAGGAGAGGGCGGCCGGGAGGGAGACGCUGAGCGAGCGACAACAGCGGCAGCUCGGGAAUGGGGGCUCGGAGCGCGGCGGCCAAGUUUUAUGUUAUGUAUAUUUUACAAGUAAAAAAAUUUUUUCACCUCAGCCUGAACUGAACACUAGCUGACAGACGUUUUGAUUUCUUUGACCAUCACGGAAUCGUGGCCAAGCGCGGUGGCUCACAUCUGUAAUCCCAACACUUUGGGAGGUCAAGAUGGGCGGAUUGCUUGAAUCCAGGUGUUUGAGAUCAGCCUGGGCAACAUGACAAAACCCUGUUUCUAGUAAAAAUACAAAAAUUAACCAGGCUCAAGCCAUGACCAUGCACCAUUGCACUCCAGCCUAGGCGACAGAGCAGGACCCUGUCUCAAAAAAAAAAAAAAAAAAAAAAAAAAAAAAGAAGAAGAAAUCUCAGCAGGCUGAGAUGGAACUCAUUCUUCUCAUGAAGAACGUGGCAAGCAUUAUACAGAGGGGCCAUAGUCUGGAAAGCAGGAGAUGCUUACAGACAUAUAAGUUGUUUCCAGUGUUUUGCUCUUGGUACUCAUGGUUCCACUAUUUACAUCAACCUUUUGAGAAACAUAUUUAUACACUGUCUUAUACUUCCCUCCUUUGCUACAGAAUGAAUCUACUUGUAACCUACCAAAAAUUUACCCUGUCACAUUUCCCCAGCUGCUGGUUUAAAAAUAAAUAUCCUGGAUUUAAAGCCAAUUGUGUCUAACAG